AUGAUCAUUUCACUUUUCGAUCGUCGCCAUUUUGUAAGCGCCCUGCCUAAGAGUGUGUCAUAGACUUCAGCGGGAUUAAAUGUGUAUUACCCGGGAGGAACUGUAAAGAACCAGCCAGACAGCCCGCCCGCCGAGCUGCCCACCCGGCCGAGCUGUACUUUGUGUAUGCCAACAUGCCAACAUGCUGUAAUUUCCAGCCUGGUUGCUGUAGCCACAGGGGAAUUUUCAAGGACAAGAACCAGUGCUGGUAAAAAUGUGGUCUCAUGUGGUUUUCCAUACCGGCAUUCAGCAAGGAUUUCAGAGAAAGAAAUACUGUCUCCAAAUCAUAAUGUGCCAAUAAGCUCCAGUUAGCUGUGCCUUUUUCCUCCCACCGGUAGUCCUUCAAUCUGAAUCCAGGAGAUGCAGCUCUGAAUCCAAUAUUUCAGGAGAAUAAAUAUAAAACUGAAGCCUUCAGGAAGUCAAUGCCACCAUGGUAUUGAUUUAUUCAGCUCUGAUGUACUCAGCUGUGAUGUAACAUGCCUUCAAGUCACUAUCCGAAGAACAUUCAGACGUUCUAAAUGGACCAUUGCCCUGUUGCCAUGGAACUCAUUAUGAGGAGGAGCACACAAACUGUCACUUGUUUUGGAUAUCAGAUGUACCACGAACUGACCAUAAACUUUUCAGAUGCUCUGUUUAUUUCAUCAGCCAAUUUCGAUGUAAAUUUUACUGAAUAAUGACAAACAGUCUUACUCAUAAGCAUCUCUUACUCAUUCGUAUUCCACAACUAAACAUGCUUGCAAUUACACUGUGCCAUCUAUCAUAAUAUAGCAAUGCUGCGAUGUCCGCAUUUUUUUGUACCAGUUGUUGCUUUAUACUGAAACUUUUAUUGAAAAUGGUGCAUAAACACUGACAACACAUCAAUGUUUCGUUCAUACAUUUGUACAUGUUCUUUCAGUGUUGAUAAUGUUGACAUAUUUCAUGUACAUUUACACAUGUAUUUAUUGCCAACCUCAUCAAAACAUGCAUAGUUUGCUCACAUACAUGUACAUAUUUCCAAAACAGACAUUUACUGAAUGUAUUACUACUUUACGUUGAUUUUGAUAUGUAAAUAAAACAUUGUACUACUUGUUUAUACAAAACACUUUUCAUUUGCUAUGUUGUUUGUUUCCAUGUUCUAUCUGCAAACAGAUGGUAUUAUCAUAUAAAUAUUUAGCUCGACUAUUCGUAGAAUAUGGAGAGCUAUACUACUCACCCAAGUGUCGGCCUCACACCUUGGUUAAGGAUUUGCGUGCAAGCACACAUAGGUUAAUAUCUCAGUUACUUCUUGAGGUAUCGCAUUGAGACUUGAUACAAUGGUACUCAACCAUCCAACCUACUUAAUUAACCAAGUUAGAUAACUCUACUUUGCAUUUAAUGCAAAUUAUAGGUUUUUAUUAUUUGACUAAGAAAUUCUGGUUAAGGUUUUGCAUGCAAGCACACAUAGGUAAAUAUCUCAUUAAGUACUUGAGGUAUUGCAUUGAGACUUGAAACAAUGUUACUCAACCAUCCAACCUACUUAAUAAACCAAGUAAGAUAACUCUGCUUUGCAUUUAAUGCAAAUUAUAGGCUUUUAUUAUUUGACUUAGAAAUUCUGGUUAAGGUUUUGCUUGCAAGCACACAUAGGUAAACAUCUCAUUAAGUACUUGAGGUAUUGCAUUGAGACUUGAUACAAUGGUACUCAACAAUACAAUCUACUGAAUUAACAAAGUUAGAUAACUGUAGUUUGCAUUUAAUCCAAAUAAUAGGACUUUAUUAUUCGACUUAGAAAUUCAGGUUAAGGUUUUGUGUGCAAGCACACAUAGGUUAAUAUCUCAGCAGCUACUUGAGGUAUUGCAUUGAGACAUGUUACAAGGUACUCAACCAUCCAACCUAAUUAAUUAACCAAGUAAGAUAACUUGACUUUGCAUUUAAUGCAAAUGAUAGGCCUUUAUUAUUCGACUUAGAUAUUUUGAUUAAGGUUUUGUGUGCAAGCACACAUUAUAUAAAUAUCAAAGCAACUACUUGAUGUAUUGCAUUGAGACUCAUACAAUUGUACUCAACCAUCAAACUUCCCCAUGUAAGAUGGCUCUAGUUUCAUUAAACGCAAAUAGUUGCCCUUUAUUAUUCGACAUAGAAAUUCUAGUUAAGGUUUUGCGUGUAAGCACACAUAGGUAAAUUUCUCAGCAACUACUCGAUGUAUUGCAUUGAGACUUUAUAGAAUGGUAUUCAACUACUAAAUGUCAUUGAAUAACCAAGAUAUAUAACUGUAUUUUGCAAAUAAUUGCCCUUUAUUAUUAGACUUAAACAGUCUGGUUGAAAUUUUCCAUGUAACCACAUUUAUGUUUAUAUCUCACCACAUGAUUUGCAUUGAAAUCUUAUCUAACAGCGAUCCAUGCAUGUUUCGCCAAAACUUUUCAAUCCUUACACUGAAAAGCGGCGGAAUAGUCGAGCCCACUGUCUCCGUGUCAGCUCUUGUUCAAAAUUAACGUGAUGUUCAUUUCCAUUGUGAAACUUAUCCAUUGGGAACGUUCAAACAUAUUCUACACACAUUAUUUUUUAUCUUACACUGUAUAUAUAUAUGUUCUAUAUGUAUAUAUCACGCCUAAUAAAAUUGA